CUCAGAGAUGGCUGGGAUGAGAGGUAUUGGUGGGGACAAGGGCAGCCACUGUUGGCUGAACACUUACUACAGGCCAGGCGCUUGAGGCCUGUCUCACUCAAGGUAGCCGGGGAUGAGCUCAUCUGUUGGGAAGAGACAGCAGCCCCGAGAGGGAGAGUCGGUUUCCCAGGCACAAAACGUGUGUCAUAGUGCAAACAAGGCUCUGUGUGUGAAAGCGUGUGAACCUUCCAGGGUGGGAGGAAGGGUUCUGUCCUGCUCAGCACCAUGCCCCUGUGGUAGGAGAGAGGCCAACCAACAGCAGGUGCUCAAUAUUUGCUGAAUGAGUGGCACAGGGCGAUACGUGUGUGCCAGGCGGCAAGCUACCUGUUCUCUGCUGUCUGUCCCACAGGCCCGGGAAGGGGUGGGCAUGGACGAAGCAGCAAGAUGGCAGAGAGGGUCCUGGUCCAUCCCUGGGCUCAGAGCCUUUCUUCUUCUGCCCGCUCCCAUCUGCAGCUCUUUGCUCCCCUCAGCUAUGGGGACUCCCUCAGGAGAUGCUGGGGCUCUGCUAGUGAGAGCAUCCUUUCAGCCAGGACCUCUCCGUCUCUCAGGCCAGCUCUCCUCAAGGACUGGCUGUGACACCCCGCCCACGGUGUGCCCCCUCUUUCCACAGCACAAAUCUCCGAGGGCCAUUUUCCCAAAGUCCUUUGAUCUUCAAAUGAAUCCCACAGUGAGGGUGGACAUUGGGAACCACAGGUCUUAGGUUCCAGUACUCUGCUGUGUGACCUCUGGCUGGGAAGAUGCAUUAAAAACCCGAAAGCAGCUCCCUACUGCACAGACUCAGUAGCACCCACACAGCUCGCCAAGUCUCACUCAGUCACCAGGUCCCCAGAUUCUCCCUGCCGAGGCCGGGCCGGGUCCCCCCACGACUUGGCUCGUGUGCAGUGAAGACAUCGGCUGUCAACACGGCGCUCUGAAGCCAAGGGGUUUAAAUCAAGUCUUCUCUCACAACAAUGACAUUAAUUACGCUUUUAACACAUUUUACUGGGUUUUUUUUUUCUCACUUCGUGCCACAUCUGUGCGAACAAUAUCCAAAAGAUUUACGGUUUUCUUCCGUAAUUACAGAUACACGGACUGCGCACUUAUCAAAAUACUUGCUGAGCAAUCAGCCCGUGUCUCGCUGCCUGCCAAGGACUCGUGCUGGCAGCAGCCACUCAUUCAAACGGAAAUGUUGAAUCAGGACUUGGGUGGGGGGAACUGCGACAAAUAAUUUGCCUGUCAAGACAUAGACCAAAGAAGAGUGGGUGCAUCCUGGCUGCA